CCUACGGGUGGCAGCAGUCGAGAAUCAUUCACAAUGGGGGAAACCCUGAUGGUGCGACGCCGCGUGGGGGAAUGAAGGUCUUCGGAUUGUAAACCCCUGUCAUGUGGGAGCAAAUUAAAAAGAUAGUACCACAAGAGGAAGAGACGGCUAACUCUGUGCCAGCAGCCGCGGUAAUACAGAGGUCUCAAGCGUUGUUCGGAAUCACUGGGCGUAAAGCGUGCGUAGGCUGUUGCGUAAGUCGUGUGUGAAAGGCGCGGGCUCAACCCGCGGACGGCACAUGAUACUGCGAGACUAGAGUAAGGGAGGGGGAACCGGAAUUCUCUGUGUAGCAGUGAAAUGCGUAGAUAUCGAGAGGAACACUCGUGGCGAAGGCGGGUUCCUGGACAUUAACUGACGCUGAGGCACGAAGGCCAGGGGAGCGAAAGGGAUUAGAUACCCCUGUAGUC
rnacentral:rRNA from 1 species